CAAAAAUUAUAGUAAGUGUCAUAGUAAGAAGAAAUAAAUUAAAUGCAGAAAAAAUUAUUAAUUUUUGCUCAACGCUCGCAAGGCAACGACUCGAUUCAAAAUUAGCAAGUUAAUCAAAAUCUAAAACUUCAUAUGCAAUAAAAGAAGAUUUUAUUAAGUUUGAGGCAAAAAUUCAAGAUUCAGAAGAACAUUUUGAGAAACUAGUAUACCAGAAUCAGUAGAAGAUGAUGUUACUAAACAGUUUUGUUGGCAAGGUUCCAAAGAUAAAUCGAGAUAAAAAAAAUUUCAACUAUGUUAGCAGUUAAAGUUGCUUACCGCCAAAAAUUUGCCGAUCACAGCGAAUCACAAUUUGAAAAAGUAGUUAUAACGUUUUUCCAGCAAGCAAAAAAUCGACACGGCAAAAAAAAACAAAGAAAUCAUUU